AACGAACGCUGGCGGCAUGCCUAACACAUGCAAGUCGAACGAGAUCUUCGGGUCUAGUGGCGCACGGGUGCGUAACGCGUGGGAAACUGCCCUUUGGUUCGGAAUAACAGUUGGAAACGACUGCUAAUACCGGAUGAUGACGAAAGUCCAAAGAUUUAUCGCCAGAGGAUGAGCCCGCGUAGGAUUAGCUAGUUGGUGUGGGAAAGGCGCACCAAGGCGACGAUCCGUAGCUGGUCUGAGAGGAUGAUCAGCCACACUGGGACUGAGACACGGCCCAGACUCCUACGGGAGGCAGCAGUGGGGAAUAUUGGACAAUGGGCGAAAGCCUGAUCCAGCAAUGCCGCGUGAGUGAUGAAGGCCUUAGGGUUGUAAAGCUCUUUUACCCGGGAUGAUAAUGACAGUACCGGGAGAAUAAGCUCCGGCUAACUCCGUGCCAGCCGCCGCGGUAA
rnacentral:rRNA from 1 species